rnacentral:lncRNA from 1 species
GUUUUCUUUGUGUGUGUGGUUAUGUGAAUAAAGGAGAAAUUAGAAGAGGACUGCCUAGAUCGUGUGUUUGACUGAAACGUGAAUGGGUCUGCGGGUCUGCAGCUGGAUAAGCGUAUAACCAAUCAUUCACGUUCUGUUGAGCUAAUCAACGCAGUAGCCAAUCAGAGGCAGUUAGACAAGUCACCUCUGAAAUAGCAAACAGCUGAGUGUUGAAACAAUUGGUUGAAACCUGGUUGAAACGGGCUCGAGAUGAUGAUCCAAAAUGCUCUCGGAUAAAACAGAAGGUGUCCUGCUCCGGCCGAGUCUGGGUCCGUCCUCUUGGAAGUGGGACAGGCCUUUGGUAUGGUAACUAGGACUGGGGCUGGAGGAGGACAGGGUUCUCUGGCUCCCGUUUAGGUAACUGCCAUAGUUGACAGAGUCCCUCGAGUCCUGCCGUGAGUAGAAGGAGUUGAUUUGCGAGCCCCGGUAGUUGUACGCUCUCCAACCUGGCCGUCUCCUGCGGUGACAUCUGCAUUUGAGGAUGCGGAUGAAAGCCAGCUUGAACUCCCGGCUGUAGCAGGGGUAGAUGAUGGGAUUCAGGCAGCUGUUGAAGUAGCCAAGCCAGAAGAUGAUGGAGGAGACGGUUUCAGGAGGCCGAAGACUGGUGUUGAAUGAAACUGUGAAGAGAGAAGAAGAAGCACCAGCAUACACGUAAUGUCUUCACAACAGCGCUCCUGACAAGUUUGACUGCACAGAUGGCAACCGGUGAAUCAGACGCAUCACGUCAAGCCUGAACAACUGAGAUGACGCAUUUUUCGGCUGUUUUGGCUCUUUCUAUCACCUCGCUGUGCGCCUUUUUGGAUGGACGGGCAGAAGGGUGAGGAGGUGCGGAGCUGCACAGAUGGAGUGCCAGGCUUGGGUUGCAGUCCUGAAAUUGGAGGGUGUGAUGGGUGGAGACGGAGGGCUGGAAGGGGGUCGCUGGUUUGUGACAGACUCGUGGCUGGUGGCUGUGGAUGCAGGGCUAGG